rnacentral:rRNA from 1 species
ACAAGCAGUGGAGUAUGUGGUUUAAUUCGAAGCAACGCGAAGAACCUUACCAGGGCUUGACAUCCCUUGAAGCAGCUAGAGAUAGCUGUGUCCUUCGGGACAAGGAGACAGGUGGUGCAUGGUUGUCGUCAGCUCGUGUCGUGAGAUGUUGGGUUAAGUCCCGCAACGAGCGCAACCCCUACGUUUAGUUGCUAACGCGUGAAGGCGAGCACUCUAGACGAACUGCCGUUGACAAAACGGAGGAAGGUGGGGAUGACGUCAAAUCAUCAUGCCCCUUAUGUUCUGGGCUACACACGUGCUACAAUGGCCGGUACAGACGGACGCAAAGCCGCGAGGUGGAGCAAAUCCUAAAAAGCCGGUCUCAGUUCGGAUUGCAGGCUGCAAUUCGCCUGCAUGAAGUCGGAAUCGCUAGUAAUCGCAGGUCAACAUACUGCGGUGAAUACGUUCCCGGGCCUU